GACGAACGCUGGCGGCGUGCUUAACACAUGCAAGUCGAGCGGAAAGGCCCUGCGGGGUACUCGAGCGGCGAACGGGUGAGUAACACGUGAGUAACCUGCCCCAGACUUUGGGAUAACCCGCGGAAACGGGGGCUAAUACCGGAUACGACACAGCUUCGCAGGGGGGCUGUGUGGAAAGUUGUUCGGUGUGGGAUGGGCUCGCGGCCUAUCAGCUUGUUGGGGGGGUGAUGGCCGGCCAAGGCGACGACUGGUAGCCGGCCGGAGAGGGCCACCGGCCACCCUGCGCCUACGACACGCCCCAGACUCCUACGGUAGGCAGCAGUGGGGAAUAUUGCACAAUGGGCGGAAGCCUGAUGCAGCGACGCCGCGUGAGUGAUGACGGCCUUCGGGUUGUAAACCUCUUUCAGCAGGGACGAAGCGUAAGUGACGGUACCUGCAGAAGAAGCGCCGGCCAACUACGUG
rnacentral:rRNA from 1 species